AUCGGACUGCACUCAUUGAUAUGUGAGAAGUUUGCCCCAGUUCCUUAGUUGAAUGUUCAUGGGCAAUAUUUGAAUUUUCAGUUGUAAAAUAAAGCUUAAUGCUAAAUGUUGAGAAGAUCGGUUAACAAAUGCGCUUUCAAAGGCUCUAGAAGUGAAAAGCAGAAAUAGAUAUUUUUGGAAACGUUUUCUAUCAAACUCACCAAUCGAGAGUCAUACGAGAAACCUUCGUGCAAAAUUUUGUCAAAAUCGGUUGACAAUUGGCGAUAUUAUUGCAGUAUUAGUCUAAAUCAGAUGAACAUAUACAGUUGUGUUCGAAAUAAUAGCAUAACCCCGGCCCGCUUCACUACCCCAAUUUUAGUAGUACCUCGGAUUUAUCAUUGGACGCAAUACAAGACAUGAACCGACUUAAGGGCGUGGCAUGGAAAACAUAUUACGAUUUGUUAUAGAGCGCACAACAAGUCGAUUACUGGCUU
rnacentral:sRNA from 1 species